rnacentral:rRNA from 1 species
UACGUAGGGUGCGAGCGUUGUCCGGAAUUAUUGGGCGUAAAGGGCUCGUAGGCGGUCUGUCACGUCGGGAGUGAAAACUCAGGGCUUAACCCUGAGCCUGCUUCCGAUACGGGCAGACUAGAGGUAUGCAGGGGAGAACGGAAUUCCUGGUGUAGCGGUGAAAUGCGCAGAUAUCAGGAGGAACACCGGUGGCGAAGGCGGUUCUCUGGGCAUUACCUGACGCUGAGGAGCGAAAGUGUGGGGAGCGAACAGG